rnacentral:rRNA from 1 species
CCCUUAGAUGUUCUGGGCUGCACGCGUGCUACAAUGAAGCGUCCAACAAGAUGCGAAGCCGAAAGGCUCAGCGGAUCUUUGAAGUCGUUUCGUGACCGGGACAGUUGAUUGCAAUUAUUCGACUCGAACGAGGAAUUCCUUGUAAUCGCGAUUCAUCAUAUCGCGCUGAAUACGUCCCUGCCCUUUGUACACACCGCCCGUCGCUCCUACCGAUUGAAUGGUCCGGUGAAGCGUUCGGACCGUGGCCUUUGGACGGUUCGCCGUCUGUUGGCUGCGGGAAGUUCGUUAAACCUUAUCAUUUAGAGGAAGGAGAAGUCGUAACA